UACGUAGGGCGCAAGCGUUGUCCGGAAUUAUUGGGCGUAAAGAGCUCGUAGGCGGUUUGUCGCGUCUGCUGUGAAAACCUAAGGCUCAACCUUGGGCUUGCGGUGGAUACGGGCAGACUAGAGGUAGGUAGGGGAGAACGGAAUUCCCGGUGUAGCGGUGAAAUGCGCAGAUAUCGGGAGGAACACCGGUGGCGAAGGCGGUUCUCUGGGCCUUACCUGACGCUGAGGAGCGAAAGCAUGGGGAGCGAACAGG
rnacentral:rRNA from 1 species